rnacentral:rRNA from 1 species
AGUGCUUGCACUCAAUUGGAAAGAGGAGUGGCGGACGGGUGAGUAACACGUGGGUAACCUACCCAUCAGAGGGGGAUAACACUUGGAAACAGGUGCUAAUACCGCAUAACAGUUUAUGCCGCAUGGCAUAAGAGUGAAAGGCGCUUUCGGGUGUCGCUGAUGGAUGGACCCGCGGUGCAUUAGCUAGUUGGUGAGGUAACGGCUCACCAAGGCCACGAUGCAUAGCCGACCUGAGAGGGUGAUCGGCCACACUGGGACUGAGACACGGCCCANACUCCUACGGGAGGCAGCAGUAGGGAAUCUUCGGCAAUGGACGAAAGUCUGACCGAGCAACGCCGCGUGAGUGAAGAAGGUUUUCGGAUCGUAAAACUCUGUUGUUAGAGAAGAACAAGGACGUUAGUAACUGAACGUCCCCUGACGGUAUCUAACCAGAAAGCCACGGCUAACUACGUGCCAGCAGCCGCGGUAAUACGUAGGUGGCAAGCGUUGUCCGGAUUUAUUGGGCGUAAAGCGAGCGCAGGCGGUUUCUUAAGUCUGAUGUGAAAGCCCCCGGCUCAACCGGGGAGGGUCAUUGGAAACUGGGAGACUUGAGUGCAGAAGAGGAGAGUGGAAUUCCAUGUGUAGCGGUGAAAUGCGUAGAUAUAUGGAGGAACACCAGUGGCGAAGGCGGCUCUCUGGUCUGUAACUGACGCUGAGGCUCGAAAGCGUGGGGAGCAAACAGGAUUAGAUACCCUGGUAGUCCACGCCGUAAACGAUGAGUGCUAAUGUUGGAGGGUUUCCGCCCUUCAGUGCUGCAGCAACGCAUUAAGCACUCCGCCUGGGGAGUACGACCGCA